CUGAUACUCCCUCCGUCCCAAAUUACUUGUCUUAUUUGUCUAGAUACAUUGUCUAGACAAAUCUAAGACAAGUAAUUUGGGACGGAGGGAGUAUCAG
rfam:Triticum aestivum genome assembly, contig: Triticum_aestivum_CS42_TGACv1_scaffold_435445_5DL